AACACUGUUAACCUGCGGUACCUGCGGAAGGAUCAUUACCGAGUUUACAACUCCCAAACCCAUGUGAACAUACCUAUCGUUGCUUCGGCGGAUCGCCCCGGGCGCCUUGCGUGCCCCGGAUCCAGGCGGCCGCCGGGGGACCUUAACUCUUGUUUUUACUGAGAAUCUUCUGAGUCGUUUUUACAAAUAAAUAAAAACUUUCAACAACGGAUCU
rnacentral:misc_RNA from 1 species